CGGGUGAGUAACGCGUGAGGAACCUGCCUCAAAGAGGGGGACAACAGUUGGAAACGACUGCUAAUACCGCAUAAGCCCACGGCUCGGCAUCGAGCAGAGGGAAAGGAGUGAUCCGCUUUGAGAUGGCCUCGCGUCCGAUUAGCUAGUUGGUGAGGUAACGGCCCACCAAGGCAACGAUCGGUAGCCGGACUGAGAGGUUGAACGGCCACAUUGGGACUGAGACACGGCCCAG
rnacentral:rRNA from 1 species